CCUACGGGCGGCAGCAGUGAGGAAUAUUGGUCAAUGAGCGGGAGCCUGAACCAGCCAAGCCGCGUGAAGGAAGAAGGCGCCAGGCGUCGUAAACUUCUUUUGUCGGGGAACAAAGGGCGCCACGUGUGGCGUUGUGAGUGUACCCGAAGAAAAAGCAUAGGCUAACUCCGUGCCAGCAGCCGCGGUAAUACGGGGGAUGCGAGCGUUAUCCGGAUUUAUUGGGUUGAAAGGGUGCGUAGGCGGGCUGUUAAGUCAGCGGGAAAAGCCCGGGGCUCAACCCCGGCGAGCCGUUGAAACUGGCUGUCUUGAGAUGUCGAGAGGUAUGCGGAAUGCGCAGUGUAGCGGUGAAAUGCGUAGAUAUUGCGCAGAACUCCGAUGGCGAAGGCAGCAUACCGGCGGCGAUCUGACGCUGAGGCACGAAAGCGUGGGUAUCGAACAGGAUUAGAUACCCGAGUAGUC
rnacentral:rRNA from 1 species